rnacentral:rRNA from 1 species
UUCCGUGGUGAACCUGCGGAAGGAUCAUUGA